rnacentral:rRNA from 1 species
AUUGAACGCUGGCGGCAGGCCUAACACAUGCAAGUCGAACGAGUGGCGGACGGGUGAGUAAUGUCUGGGAAACUGCCCGAUGGAGGGGGAUAACUACUGGAAACGGUAGCUAAUACCGCAUACCAUCGGAUGUGCCCAGAUGGGAUUAGCUAGUAGGUGGGGUAAAGGCUCACCUAGGCGACGAUCCCUAGCUGUUCUGAGAGGAUGACCAGCCACACGGGAACUGAAAAACGGUCCAAACUCCAACGGGAGGAAGAAGUGGGGAAGAUUGCACAAUGGGCACAAGCCUGAUGCAGCCAUGCCGCGUGUGUGAAGAAGGCCUUCGGGUUGUAAAGCACUUUCAGCGGGGAGGCGUUACCCGCAGAAGAAGCACCGGCUAACUCCGUGCCAGCAGCCGCGGUAAUAC